rnacentral:rRNA from 1 species
GACGAACGCUGGCGGCGUGCCUAAUACAUGCAAGUCGAACGAGAGCGACCGGUGCUUGCACUGGUCAAUCUAGUGGCGAACGGGUGAGUAACACGUGGGUAACCUGCCCAUCAGAGGGGGAUAACAUCCGGAAACGGAUGCUAAAACCGCAUAGGUCCUUUAACCGCAUGGUUGAAGGAGGAAAAGAGGCGCAAGCUUCUGCUGAUGGAUGGACCCGCGGUGCAUUAGCUAGUUGGUGAGGUAACGGCUCACCAAGGCCGUGAUGCAUAGCCGACCUGAGAGGGUGAUCGGCCACAUUGGGACUGAGACACGGCCCAAACUCCUACGGGAGGCAGCAGUAGGGAAUCUUCCGCAAUGGACGCAAGUCUGACGGAGCAACGCCGCGUGAGUGAAGAAGGUUUUCGGAUCGUAAAACUCUGUUGUUAGAGAAGAACAAGUGCUAGAGUAACUGUUAGCGCCUUGACGGUAUCUAACCAGAAAGCCACGGCUAACUACGUGCCAGCAGCCGCGGUAAUACGUAGGUGGCAAGCGUUGUCCGGAUUUAUUGGGCGUAAAGCGAGCGCAGGCGGUUCCUUAAGUCUGAUGUGAAAGCCCCCGGCUCAACCGGGGAGGGUCAUUGGAAACUGGGGAACUUGAGUGCAGAAGAGGAGAGUGGAAUUCCAUGUGUAGCGGUGAAAUGCGUAGAUAUAUGGAGGAACACCAGUGGCGAAGGCGACUCUCUGGUCUGUAACUGACGCUGAGGCUCGAAAGCGUGGGUAGCAAACAGG